rnacentral:rRNA from 1 species
GCAGCCGCGGUAAUACGGAAGGUCCGGGCGUUAUCCGGAUUCAUUGGGUUUAAAGGGAGCGUAGGCCGCCCCUUAAGCGUGUUGUGAAAUGCCGCGGCUCAACCGUGGCACUGCAGCGCGAACUGGGGGGCUUGAGUGUGCGCGACGCAGGCGGAAUUCGUGGUGUAGCGGUGAAAUGCUUAGAUAUCACGAGGAACCCCGAUUGCGAAGGCAGCUUGCGGGAGCACUACUGACGCUGAAGCUCGAAGGCGCGGGUAUCGAACAGGAUUAGAUACCCC